rnacentral:misc_RNA from 1 species
UUAAACCUGACCCAAUUAUUAAUCGUAAUUAGUAUGCGAUACGGAUACGUUGCACCCGGUGACGUAUACGCGAUGCAUAACCUAACCUAGUCUAUAUACAUAUAUACAUAUACAUGUAUAUAUCGGCGUCGACGACGACAUCGGGGUGACGUGCCUAGACUGCAUAUCGCUAGAAAUUAGAAUUAGAAACAGAAUUCGUAUGAGACGGCGUAACUAGUUGUCGGGUUGGGCUAGGUCUUCUCGUCGUAGCGCAAUACG